rnacentral:rRNA from 1 species
GCGUUGUCCGGAAUCAUCGGGCGUAAAGCGCGUGUAGGCGGUUCGAUAAGUCCGCUCUGAAAGUCCAGGGCUCAACCCUGGGAUGCGGGUGGAUACUGUCGAGCUCGAGUCCGGAAGAGGCGAGUGGAAUUCCUGGUGUAGCGGUGAAAUGCGCAGAUAUCAGGAGGAACACCAAUGGCGAAGGCAGCUCGCUGGGACGUGACUGACGCUGAGACGCGAAAGCGUG